GACGAACGCUGGCGGCGUGCCUAAUACAUGCAAGUGAAGUUCAGUGGCGGACGGGUGAGUAACACGUGGGUAACCUACCCAUCAGAGGGGGAUAACACUUGGAAACAGGUGCUAAUACCGCAUAGUUGGGGAUGGGCUCGCGGCCUAUCAGCUUGUUUGUGGGGUGAUGGCCUACCAAGGCGGUGACGGGUAGCCGGCCUGGGAGGGGGGUCGGCAACAUUGGGACUGAGAUACGGCCCAGAAUCCUACGGGAGGCAGCAGUGGGGGAUAUUGCACAAUGGGCGCAAGCCUGAUGCAGCGACGCCGCGUGAGGGAUGAAGGCUUUCGGGUUGGAAACCUCUUUCGGUACAGAACGGGUAUGUGCAGAAGAAGCGCCGGCUAACUACGUGCCAGCAGCCGCGGUAAUAC
rnacentral:rRNA from 1 species